GAAGCAUACAUAUGGUGAGGGA
rnacentral:siRNA from 1 species